rnacentral:lncRNA from 1 species
GUUUAAGGCAAAAAAUAUUGAUUGAAUCGAUUUUUCGUAAAAUUUUCCCGGUAGAUUUUUUUAAAAAACAGAUAUGUCAAAGCUAGGAACUUUUCGAGCAUUUUAAGGUAAAAUAAAAUGGGGGUCACCAGGCUUUUUAAAAAGUUACGAGCUUUUGUUUAACCCCUCUACCCCAUAAGGUCUGAUUUCAAUGCAGUCCAUUAUUUACUUAAUUGUGAAUUCUUUAUUGGUGGCUUAAAUAAAAUAAUGUUUGAAAUU